rnacentral:rRNA from 2 species
UAGGGAAUCUUCGGCAAUGGACGAAAGUCUGACCGAGCAACGCCGCGUGAGUGAAGAAGGUUUUCGGAUCGUAAAACUCUGUUGUUAGAGAAGAACAAGGACGUUAGUAACUGAACGUCCCCUGACGGUAUCUAACCAGAAAGCCACGGCUAACUACGUGCCAGCAGCCGCGGUAAUACGUAGGUGGCAAGCGUUGUCCGGAUUUAUUGGGCGUAAAGCGAGCGCAGGCGGUUUCUUAAGUCUGAUGUGAAAGCCCCCGGCUCAACCGGGGAGGGUCAUUGGAAACUGGGAGACUUGAGUGCAGAAGAGGAGAGUGGAAUUCCAUGUGUAGCGGUGAAAUGCGUAGAUAUAUGGAGGAACACCAGUGGCGAAGGCGGCUCUCUGGUCUGUAGCUGACGCUGAGGCUCGAAAGCGUGGGGAGCAAACAGG